GAUCAGUGAAAAACCCAGGAAUGCUUUAUUCCCCGGAGUGGGGGCUCCUUCUUAAAGCAAAAAUACGUCACAGUUUAAACAUACAGUAUACAUUCACCAAUUGGUUAACAGAGAAAGGGGGCUCUUGUUUAAACCUCCCUACAGAAUGUAGUGUCAUCAUUACAGACUUUUGGAUACACGAUGGGAGGGGGAGUGAGUGGUAUCUAUCAGUUCUAAACCAAUGAUCCUCCAUUUAGCUAUAUAUGGCAUAUAGCUGUUAACUGGCACAAAGGUAGUGGGGGAGGGAAGGCUAGCAGGAUGUGAGGAAUUUACAUAGUAAACAGCAGCUGACCACAUUGUAGGGGGGGAAGGGAAUAUUUACUCUAGAAGCCAGUUUUAACAUAGUGAACAGAGAAUAAAUAGACAUUAGUAAAUAGCCAUUUUAUUUUAAUUCAUCUGUCCAUAACA